rnacentral:rRNA from 1 species
UUCCGGUUGAUCCUGCCGGAGGUCACUGCUAUCGGUGUUCGACUAAGCCAUGCGAGUCAAAUGUUCUUCGUGAACAUGGCGUACUGCUCAGUAACACGUGGAUAACCUGCCCUUAGGUCUGGCAUAACCCCGGGAAACUGGGGAUAAUUCCGGAUAGAUCAUGGAUGCUGGAAUGCACCGUGGUCGAAAGCUUUUGUGCCUAAGGAUGGGUCUGCGGUCUAUCAGGUUGUAGUGGGUGUAACGUACCUGCUAGCCUACGACGGAUACGGGUUGUGGGAGCAAGAGCCCGGAGAUGGAUUCUGAGACAUGAAUCCAGGCCCUACGGGGCGCAGCAGGCGCGAAAACUUUACAAUGCGGGAAACCGCGAUAAGGGGACACCGAGUGCCAGCAUCCUAUGUUGGCUGUCCAUAUGUAUAAAUAACAUGUGUUAGCAAGGGCCGGGCAAGACCGGUGCCAGCCGCCGCGGUAACACCGGCGGCCCGAGUGGUGGCCACUAUUAUUGGGUCUAAAGGGUCCGUAGCCGGUUUGGUCAGUCCUCCGGGAAAUCUGACGGCUUAACCGUUAGGCUUUCGGGGGAUACUGCCAGGCUUGGGACCGGGAGAGGUAAGAGGUACUACGGGGGUAGGAGUGAAAUCUUGUAAUCCCUGUGGGACCACCUGUGGCGAAGGCGUCUUACCAGAACGGGUCCGACGGUGAGGGACGAAAGCUGGGGGCACGAACCGGAUUAGAUACCCGGGUAGUCCCAGCCGUAAACUAUGCUCGCUAGGUGUCAGGGACGGUGCGACCGUUUCUGGUGCCGUAGGGAAGCCGUGAAGCGAGCCACCUGGGAAGUACGGUCGCAAGGCUGAAACUUAAAGGAAUUGGCGGGGGAGCACUACAA